AGGGAGAAGGGAAGGGGAAAACGGAUACGGAUGAAGGAACAACAAAGAAAAUAAUAAAUUAAGAGGCACAGAAAAUAGGAAAGGAGUGAGAAUUAAUUUAAUCGGAAGAGUAGAACAUGAAGGAGUAUGAAGGGGGUAUAAGAUGGAAGCAGGAAUCUGUGGCAGCAGAGGAGAUCAAACAACGUGAGAUUUUAAGGGAAAAGGGAAAAAAAAAAAAAAAAGAGGAAGAAAGGAGAUCUCAUGUGAUUUGGACCUCCUUUAUCAGAUUCAGAUCAAAAUCUCUAUCGCAAGCCAACGAAGGGAGAAGAAUGGAAGGAAAGGAUCAUCGAUGAUAAGGAGAAAUGAAAGCCAAGCCAACGUUAAGAUGAAAGUUGAAGUAAGCUGACGGAGGGAUGUCAAGGGUCAGAUUUGAUCCCGUUGUCAGAGUAUCCAGCUGUCGGGUAAGAGAUUAAACUUCAAGUCGAGAGUUGAAAGACAGGCCAUUUCAGAAACCCUUUAUUUUGGUGCGCAUCUUUCCUCCUUUCUUUAUUUCUUUUAUGUAUAAAUAAUACUAUUAGUUUUUCCUUUUUUCCAAAGUAAAUAUCUAACCGUUAGCUUUGCGAACAUGUUACAUAGAGGCAAUCUUAUUUCGUAUCUGUCUGCAUAAUCCUCAACCUAUAACUUAUUUCAUUUAUUUUGUUUUUAUUUUUUUUAUUUAAUUGCUUAUAAAAUAAGUAAUACUACUAAUAUAAGAGUAAAAGGUGUGGGAAUCUGUCCUGCACAUUUUUGCUCAAGAUGAAUCAUGAAACAUAGUUAUGGGUCAGAAAUUUAUUCUGAUGAAACAUAAUUUCUUUUCUGUAUAAAUAAUUGUGCAAAUUGUCCAAGUCCCUCCCUCUUUCUUUUUGUUGUUGUUAAUUACUUACCCAUUGUAGGAGUAUCCCAUUGCUGGCCAAAAAAUUAAACUAAAGUUGUUUAAAGUAAUUGUAAUUUUGCCACAUAAACUCAAUCAAAAAACAAUAUAGAAAACUAGCAUUGAUUUUGCACCCUGAUAAGAACCCAUAGUUAUGAUGUGAAGAAGCAUUUAAUCUUGUGGGUGAAGGGUUUUUAUUAUAAAAUGAGGCAAGAGUAUAACAUGAAGUUUAGGAUUAGGAUUCAAGAGGAAAGGAUGGAUGGGUUAGGAAUGGCAUGGUAGUAGGAAAUUGAGUAGAAAUCUUAAGUUUAAUACUUUAUAAAAAAUCUCAUGCCUAUUGGCUAAUGGCUCAGCUUUCAUGAUGCCCUAUGUUUUUCAUAAUAAUUUCAUAAAAAUCAUAAAAUAAUUUAGGCAUUUAGAUUAUGAUCUCAAUAGAAAAAGACAGUUGAAAAGUAUGGAUAUGAGAAAAUUAUUUGGGAUUAAAAA